AGUGAACGCUGGCGGUAGGCCUAACACAUGCAAGUCGAACGGCAACACAGUAAGAGCUUGCUCUUACGGGUGGCGAGUGGCGGACGGGUGAGGAAUACAUCGGAAUCUACUUUUUCGUGGAGGAUCACGUAGGGAAACUUACGCUAAUAUCGCAUAUGACCUACGGGUGAAAGCAGGGGAUCGUCGGACCUUGCGCGAUUGAAUGCGCCGAUGUCGGAUUAGCUAGUUGGCGGGGUAAAGGCCCACAAAGGCGACGAUCGGUAGCUGGUCCGAGAGAAUGAUAGGCCACACUGGAACUGCGACACGGUCCAGACUCCUACGAGAGGCAGCAGUGGAGAAUGUUGGGCAAUGGGCGGAAGCCUGCUCCAGCCAUACCGCGUGGGUGAAGGAGGCCUUCGGGUUGUAAAGCCGUUUUGUUGGGAAAGAAAAGCAGCAGGUUAAUACCACGCUGUUCUGACGGUACCCAAAGAAUAAGCACCGGCUAACUUCGUG
rnacentral:rRNA from 1 species